AGCUAGUGUGGUGUAGUGAUUUGAGUGUUAGACUAGGGCUCUGGAGGCCAGGGUUCAAAUCCUUGCUUAGCUA